rnacentral:rRNA from 1 species
GACGAACGCUGGCGGCGUGCUUAACACAUGCAAGUCGAACGGAAAGGCCCUGCUUUUGUGGGGUGCUCGAGUGGCGAACGGGUGAGUAACACGUGAGUAACCUGCCCUUGACUUUGGGAUAACUUCAGGAAACUGGGGCUAAUACCGGAUAGGAGCUCCUGCUGCAUGGUGGGGGUUGGAAAGUUUCGGCGGUUGGGGAUGGACUCGCGGCUUAUCAGCUUGUUGGUGGGGUAGUGGCUUACCAAGGCUUUGACGGGUAGCCGGCCUGAGAGGGUGACCGGCCACAUUGGGACUGAGAUACGGCCCAGACUCCUACGGGAGGCAGCAGUGGGGAAUAUUGCACAAUGGGCGGAAGCCUGAUGCAGCAACGCCGCGUGCGGGAUGACGGCCUUCAGGUUGUAAACCGCUUUCGCCUGUGACGAGGCGUGAGUGACGGUAAUGGGUAAAGAAGCACCGGCUAACUACGUG